rnacentral:rRNA from 1 species
GGAGGCAGCAGUGGGGAAUAUUGCACAAUGGAGGAAACUCUGAUGCAGCGACGCCGCGUGAACGAUGAAGGCUUUCGGGUCGUAAAGUUCUGUCCUAAGGGACGAUAAUGACGGUACCUUAGGAGGAAGCCCCGGCUAACUACGUGCCAGCAGCCGCGGUAAU